rnacentral:rRNA from 1 species
GUUAAGCGACUAAGCGUACACGGUGGAUGCCCUGGCAGUCAGAGGCGAUGAAGGACGUGCUAAUCUGCGAUAAGCGUCGGUGAGGUGAUAUGAACCGUUAUAACCGGCGAUUUCCGAAUGGGGAAACCCAGUGUGUUUCGACACACUAUCAUUAACUGAAUCCAUAGGUUAAUGAGGCGAACCGGGGGAACUGAAACAUCUAAGUACCCCGAGGAAAAGAAAUCAACCGAGAUUCCCCCAGUAGCGGCGAGCGAACGGGGAGGAGCCCAGAGCCUGAAUCAGUGUGUGUGUUAGUGGAAGCGUCUGGAAAGGCGCGCGAUACAGGGUGACAGCCCCGUACACAAAAAUGCACAUGCUGUGAGCUCGAUGAGUAGGGCGGGACACGUGGUAUCCUGUCUGAAUAUGGGGGGACCAUCCUCCAAGGCUAAAUACUCCUGACUGACCGAUAGUGAACCAGUACCGUGAGGGAAAGGCGAAAAGAACCCCGGCGAGGGGAGUGAAAAAGAACCUGAAACCGUGUACGUACAAGCAGUGGGAGCCUCUUAAUGGGGUGACUGCGUACCUUUUGUAUAAUGGGUCAGCGACUUAUAUUCUGUAGCAAGGUUAACCGAAUAGGGGAGCCGAAGGGAAACCGAGUCUUAACUGGGCGUUAAGUUGCAGGGUAUAGACCCGAAACCCGGUGAUCUAGCCAUGGGCAGGUUGAAGGUUGGGUAACACUAACUGGAGGACCGAACCGACUAAUGUUGAAAAAUUAGCGGAUGACUUGUGGCUGGGGGUGAAAGGCCAAUCAAACCGGGAGAUAGCUGGUUCUCCCCGAAAGCUAUUUAGGUAGCGCCUCGUGAAUUCAUCUCCGGGGGUAGAGCACUGUUUCGGCAAGGGGGUCAUCCCGACUUACCAACCCGAUGCAAACUGCGAAUACCGGAGAAUGUUAUCACGGGAGACACACGGCGGGUGCUAACGUCCGUCGUGAAGAGGGAAACAACCCAGACCGCCAGCUAAGGUCCCAAAGUCAUGGUUAAGUGGGAAACGAUGUGGGAAGGCCCAGACAGCCAGGAUGUUGGCUUAGAAGCAGCCAUCAUUUAAAGAAAGCGUAAUAGCUCACUGGUCGAGUCGGCCUGCGCGGAAGAUGUAACGGGGCUAAACCAUGCACCGAAGCUGCGGCAGCGACACUAUGUGUUGUUGGGUAGGGGAGCGUUCUGUAAGCCUGUGAAGGUGUGCUGUGAGGCAUGCUGGAGGUAUCAGAAGUGCGAAUGCUGACAUAAGUAACGAUAAAGCGGGUGAAAAGCCCGCUCGCCGGAAGACCAAGGGUUCCUGUCCAACGUUAAUCGGGGCAGGGUGAGUCGACCCCUAAGGCGAGGCCGAAAGGCGUAGUCGAUGGGAAACAGGUUAAUAUUCCUGUACUUGGUGUUACUGCGAAGGGGGGACGGAGAAGGCUAUGUUGGCCGGGCGACGGUUGUCCCGGUUUAAGCGUGUAGGCUGGUUUUCCAGGCAAAUCCGGAAAACCAAGGCUGAGGCGUGAUGACGAGGCACUACG